rnacentral:rRNA from 1 species
GAUGAACGCUGGCGGCGUGCCUAAUACAUGCAAGUCGAGCGAACGGACGAGAAGCUUGCUCUUCUGAUGUUAGCGGCGGACGGGUGAGUAACACGUGGAUAACCUACCUAUAAGACUGGGAUAACUUCGGGAAACCGGAGCUAAUACCGGAUAAUAUUUUGAACCGCAUGGUUCAAAAGUGAAAGACGGUUUUGCUGUCACUUAUAGAUGGAUCCGCGCUGCAUUAGCUAGUUGGUAAGGUAACGGCUUACCAAGGCAACGAUGCAUAGCCGACCUGAGAGGGUGAUCGGCCACACUGGAACUGAGACACGGUCCAGACUCCUACGGGAGGCAGCAGUAGGGAAUCUUCCGCAAUGGGCGAAAGCCUGACGGAGCAACGCCGCGUGAGUGAUGAAGGUCUUCGGAUCGUAAAACUCUGUUAUUAGGGAAGAACAGAUGUGUAAGUAACUGUGCACAUCUUGACGGUACCUAAUCAGAAAGCCACGGCUAACUACGUG